rnacentral:rRNA from 1 species
GACGAACGCUGGCGGCGUGCCUAAUACAUGCAAGUUGAGCGAUGAAGAUUGGUGCUUGCCCCAAUUUGAAGAGCAGCGAACGGGUGAGUAACGCGUGGGGAAUCUGCCUUUUAGCGGGGGACAACAUUUGGAAACGAAUGCUAAUACCGCAUAACAACUUUAAACAUAAGUUUUAAGUUUGAAAGAUGCAAUUGCAUCACUCAAAGAUGAUCCCGCGUUGUAUUAGCUAGUUGGUGAGGUAAAGGCUCACCAAGGCGAUGAUACAUAGCCGACCUGAGAGGGUGAUCGGCCACAGUGGGACUGAGACACGGCCCAAACGCCUACGGGAGGCAGCAGUAGGGAAUCUUCGGCAAUGGACGAAAGUCUGAACGAGCAACGCCGCGUGAGUGAAGAAGGUUUUCGGAUCGUAAAACUCUGUUGGUAGAGAAGAACGUUGGUGAGAGUGGAAAGCUCAUCAAGUGACGGUAACUACCCAGAAAGGGACGGCUAACUACGUG